rnacentral:lncRNA from 1 species
GUUCGAUAGUUUAUUCUUUUGAAGACAUAGGUAAAGACACAAAGAAAAACCAUGCUUAAGAUUCAGCUAGUAAAAAUAUGUAAGGUCUUUGUGUUUCUCCAUCCCUUCUGGCUUUCCUCCAGAGCUGGCUGGAGAGUACUCAAGCUUGGUAAAACACAGGAACCUCUACAGUCAGCCUCUUCCAAGGGAGUCUAACCUUCCCUUUGAUACAACUGUGCCUCUUUUCCUCCUCCCUCUGAUGUGCUCCUGAGGUAGUCCUGCCACCCUCUAAUCAAAACAAAUACUUUUCAGCUCCUCAGAGGAACAAAUGAGGUUUUGCAAGGCCAAGCACAGUCUUGUGGACUAGGUGAGUUAAUCAGGUAUUCAUUUACUUAAGGAUGAGGGCACAUCCUGACCCCCAAAGCAUUUGCCUCUCCAGAUGCAUUGCCUUUCCAUACCUGCAUCUAAACUAGUCCAUAGGUCCAUUGGUGCAUUCAAACUUCAGUAUCCAUGUGGGAUAGACACAUACAGCCCAGUGUUGGCUUGUAGCCAGCCACUGUGGCUGUCAGCCCCUUGACAGUGUGACCUUGCCUUCCCGCAGCAGCUUCAAGAACUGGAAAGUCCCUUUCUUGCAGCUUCAUUGGGUAAAAUUUGGAGGACAGAGCCAAAAUUGAUGGAGGGGAGGAACUAGAGGCAGCAGGAAUAUCAUGCUUCACACACAUGGUGAGAGCUGGCUGCACUUCUCAUAUCUCUGUAAAUAUUGCUCUAAACAGAAAAUCAGUUUAUUCCACAAGAUUAGUCUGUUUUGAUGUUAUUACUCAGCAUGUGGCAGGUGAACUGAGAGUACAGAUCCUCCUGUGAUGUGUCUGUAACCUUCUCGAGAACAAUGGCACAUGUUAUUGGGAAGGUAAAAGUGGGAGUGUGAAAAAAAAUGACAUGAAGUGUGACACCUAAAAAUCACAAAAAUAUUAAGACAUGUCAGAAAUUGCGGUGCUAAUUUUAACAAAAAUUUACUGAAACUGCCAUUAUUUCAUUAUGUGAUUUUGUGCUGCAAAGAGGAAUUGAUUGGCAAAAGAAUUACUUAGAGAUGUAUUUGCACCCUGCAAACAGAGUGAAGCAAAUUAAGACCUAUCCAAAGGGUAACACAUUUAAAUGAAAACACCUUCUUCACUACCCAUCCAGGCAUACCAAAGUGAACAUCACCAGCUAGGAAAAUCCUUUAAACUGCAUGUAUUUUACUUGCUGAAAAUAAAUCCAUGUUAAUGGACACAAUGGCAUACACCUAAUGUAUCACACAACCAGCUUAACAUAAAAAAUAAUUACCAACAGAAUUCUAGUUCAUACAUGAUGUUACAGAAAAUUCUAAUUUGAGAAAUGUCUGAUACCAGACAUUACAACAUACUUAAAGGGUUUUUCUUCCAUCAGCACUAGAGAUGUGGAAAAUUCAGAACAACAUGCUUGGUUUAUUUUCAGAAAUCUCUAGAACUCUGUCAUCUUAUUACAAUUAAUUCUAAAUUCAGAAAGAUAUUAAUAUGGUAUGUGAUGCAAGAAUUGGAUGCCAUGUCUGACUACUAUGUGACACGAGAGAGACCAUUUCAUACAUCCAUUUGAGGUAUCCUAGUUUCAUUCCUCUAGUGUGACAGGGGAGCACAAAAAAAGUAUAAUGGCGUGGUGGGUUGUCUUGUUUUAUACCACCAGCAAAGUGAAAAAGAAAUUUUUCACUUUGAAAAAAUAGAAAUAUUUUUGCAUUCUCAUUGUCAACAAUGACAGCCUAAGGAAAAGAGGAGCAACUCCUCCAAAAGCUCUAUACACCAUUACUCCAUCAUGUUGGUAGGCUCACAUAUGCACAGUUUCAGAGCUCACUCAUGCUGCAUGAAACACUCUUACAUCCUUGAGUAAUUUAGAAAAAUACAAAGACACAUUUUAUUUUCUCUGCAAAUAUUCAGUGCUGAUGUUAUCCCUUCCAGAAAUCUCAGAAAUGUUGGCAAUGCAUACUGGGAGUUCAGGUGAUGCAGAAAUUUUUAAAUAAAGGAAUUAGCCCAAAGAAGUCACUCAUACCUUCUUUAUACAAAUUGCCUACAUCCUUUGUGGGUGGAAAACACCCUGGAUAUGUAUAAUAAAAAAAUCAACAGAUUUAGCUGGCCUGACUGGCACUGAGAUGGCAAAUCACUGAAGGUCUUGACAGCAUAACAGAGGUCAUCAAGAAAUUGAAGAAAUGGAAAGAAAACUAUUUUCCAGACUGUCCACCAUAAGCAACCAUUUUCCUCAGAGCAGGCAGGUAGCUCAGCCUUUCCUCCUUUCAUUUUACACCAGGGAAACAGACCACAAGCACAGCAGCAAGAAUUUCUGGUUGCUGAAGCACUGGGGGGACAAGCUGGGAACACGGAAGUGCAGGGCACCGCUUCUGUGCCCCUUGAGCCUCCUAUACUCUAGUGUUAGACUGUGCUUCACGUACUGUACUGCUAUUGAUCAUCUCCAGCUCACAUGCAAAAAUCCGUAAUAUUAUUUUGUUGAGUGUCUCCAGGGAGGGAAGUGGCACCAGAUGGUAAGGGGGUAGCAGCUUUCUGAAAAUCAAAGGUGACAGUUUUGCAUGACUAAAACACUUAGUGAAAUUUCUAGCCUGCACUUCUCCCACAGAUGCAGACUAUUCCAAUUGCUGGAGUGUUGUGGGCAAAGUGAACCCAGAGAUCUGUGGGUGACAGCCUCUGGCUUCCGCCUGAAAGAGAGAAAACAAAGCAACCCUGUGGACACCAUCAGUUUUCUGUACUGAAAUAAUUUGAGGAAAUUCCUCCAUUAGGGGCAAUUGCACACAAUUAGCUCGGAAUCACUGGGAUUUGUUCCAGUGGAAUUGAUUCCCAAUAGGCCCCACUGCUCAUCAGCACUGGGCACAGUGGGCAGAGGGAGUCCUGCCAAUAAUGCAUGUGCAGAGAUCUCUCCAUACACACUCAUCCCUGUCCCUGCCCAUUCCUGUGCACCCCUUGCAAAGAAUUCUGUAUGUUUGAAACCAGCUCUGCUGCAGGUUGAGCAGCAAAAGGGAUUGAAUUUCCUUUCCAUUCAAGGGCAGUUACAAAUUGAUAUGGCCUGUUGGUCACCAACUGUACCUGAAGGAGCCACUCACUGCUGAACACCUCAGCAAGGAUGCUCCAAAACUCCUCCUGACCACCCACACCCCUCCAUCUAGACUUGGCUAUGCUGUGGAAUGAUUCCUGGCCCUGCUCCAUCCCCACCUCCUACAUGGACAUCACCACUUCCCACCAGCUAAGAUGGUUGAGGGUCAUUGUCCUCUUCCUCCAAUGGACCAGCCCUGUCCCUGUUCUGCACACUGCAUCCCCCACCUGCAACACUGCCCUGUGCCCCUCCAGCUGGGAAACACUGGACACAGAGUGGUCACUCCACCCCUGCCUCAACUGUUGCACUCACAGAGAGCUAAUGAUCCUAUGUUUUUUUCCAGAAAACAGGCUUUGGAAACAUAAUCCUGAAAAGGUGUCCCUCAGCAGCAGAAAUGUGCCUACUGCUUUGCUGCCUGCCUGCUUAUAUAUCCUCCCACUUCAUAAAAUAUAGAACUGUGACUGCACUGGUGUCUGUCAAGAUUAUGUGAUUACACUAACUACCUAAUAA